CGAAAUGAGUUUUUUUGUGAAGGACCUACCAUAUAUUUGUUGCAAAAUUGGACCUAAUAAAUUUUAUAAAAUACUAGGCCAUAUUUAAUGCACAAUUGACAAAAUGGUUGGGUGUCAAAAGUUUUGAUCCACCUCUGGUGAAAAAGACAAAUUCCCGCCAAUUUAGUAGGAAGCGGGUCAAAUUUGAACUGCAGCUGCCUCAUAGUUUGCUCUUUAUUUUUUCAAAAAAUCAUUUCUAGGUACACAAGUAUCUAUUUAAUCAGAGAAACAUCAAAAGUUUUCCAAGAUUCAACCACUAGCUAGGAACGGUCAAGCCCACCGUUUUGACCGCAUUUUGAAAUGGGCAUCAAAAAUUAAAAAAAAAUCAAAAAAUUGGAAAACCUUCGCAUUGUGGCAUUAUAUGUGACCAAGUUUCCAGGAAAACUAAUAAACUUGUAAUACGGAAAUUAUUUUAAAAAAAUGUUCUCAGAAAUGAGCUAUCAUGCGUGAAGAUUCAUGGCUUUCAAGCCAAAUGAUCAAUCUUAUGGCCACAUUCAUGGCACAGUUUGUUCAAAUGAUCUCAUAUUGUGCACAAGGGUGCAUCUUGGAAUUCCAAACAAUGUUGCCUAAGGGAGUUUUCAUUUUCUUUUCACGGAAAAUACAUUUUCCAUUUUCUGAGUGCCCGAAAUGAGUUUUUUUUGUGAAGGACCUACCAUAUAUUUGUUGCAAAAUUGGACCUAAUCAAUUUUAUAAAAUACUAUGCCAUAUUUAAUGCACAAUUGACAAAAUGGUUGGGUGUCAAAAGUUUUGAUCCACCUCUGGUGAAAAAGACAAAUUCCUGCCAAUUUAGUAGGAAGCGGGUCAAAUUUGAACUGCAGCUGCCUCAUAGUUUGCUCUUUAUUUUUUUCCAAAAAUCAUUUCUAGGUACACAAGUAUCUAUUUAAUCAGAGAAACAUCAAAAGUUUUCCAAGAUUCAACCACUAGCUAGGAACGGUCAAGCCCACCGUUUUGACCGCAUUUUGAAAUGGGCAUCAAAAAUUCAAAAAA
rnacentral:lncRNA from 1 species